rnacentral:rRNA from 1 species
CUCGUAGGCGGUUCAGUAAGUUGGGUGUGAAAGCUCCGGGCUCAACCCGGAGAGGCCACUCAAUACUGCUGUGACUAGAGUCCAGUAGAGGAGCGUGGAACUCCUGGUGUAGCGGUGAAAUGCGCAGAUAUCAGGAAGAACACCGGCAGCGAAGGCGGCGCUCUGGGCUGGUACUGACGCUGAGGAGCGAAAGCAUGGGUAGCAAACAGGAUUAGAUACCCUGGUAGUCC